ACGCUGGCGGCGUGCCUAAUACAUGCAAGUCGAACGGUCUUUCUAUGGAAGCUUGCUUCCACUGAGAAGAUAGUGGCGAACGGGUGAGUAACACGUGGGUAACCUGCCCAUAAGAGGGGGAUAACAUCCGGAAACGGGUGCUAAUACCGCAUAGUUUUCUUGAUUGCAUGAUUGAGAAAGGAAAGACGGCCUUUGUGCUGUCGCUUAUGGAUGGACCCGCGGCGUAUUAGUUAGUUGGUGAGGUAACGGCUCACCAAGACGAUGAUACGUAGCCGACCUGAGAGGGUGAUCGGCCACAUUGGGACUGAGACACGGCCCAAACUCCUACGGGAGGCAGCAGUAGGGAAUCUUCCGCGAUGGACGAAAGUCUGACGGAGCAACGCCGCGUGAGUGAAAGAAGGUUUUCGGAUCGUAAAACUCUGUUGUCAGAGAAGAACAAGUUGGAGAGUAACUGCUCCAGCCUUGACGGUAUCUGACCAGAAAGCCACGGCUAACUACGUGCCAGCCGCCGC
rnacentral:rRNA from 1 species